rnacentral:rRNA from 1 species
AUUGAACGCUGGCGGCAGGCCUAACACAUGCAAGUCGAGCGGAGCGGCGGACGGGUGAGUAAUGCCUAGGAAUCUGCCUGGUAGUGGGGGAUAACGUCCGGAAACGGGCGCUAAUACCGCAUACUAUCAGAUUAGGCUAGGUCGGAUUAGCUAGGUGGGGGGGUAAUGGCCUACCAAGGCGACGAUCCGUACCUGGUCUGUGAGGAUGAUCAGUCACACUGGAACUGAGACACGGGCCAGACGCCUACGGGAGGCAGCAGUGGGGAAUAUUGGACAAUGGGCGAAAACCUGAUGCAGCCAGGCCGCGUGUGUGAAGAAGGUCUUCGGAUUGUAAAGCACUUUAAGUGGGGAGGCGUUACUAACAGAAUAAGCACCGGCUAACUUCGUGCCAGCAGCCGCGGUAAUAC